rnacentral:rRNA from 1 species
UGGGGAAUUUUGGACAAUGGGGGCAACCCUGAUCCAGCAAUGCCGCGUGUGUGAAGAAGGCCUUCGGGUUGUAAAGCACUUUUGUCCGGGAAGAAAUCGCACCUGAUAAUACCGGGUGUGGAUGACGGUACCGGAAGAAUAAGGACCGGCUAACUACGUGCCAGCAGCCGCGGUAAUACGUAGGGUCCAAGCGUUAAUCGGAAUUACUGGGCGUAAAGCGUGCGCAGGCGGUUGUGCAAGACCGAUGUAAAAUCCCCGGGCUUAACCUGGGAAUUGCAUUGGUGACUGCACGGCUAGAGUGUGUCAGAGGGGGGUAGAAUUCCACGUGUAGCAGUGAAAUGCGUAGAGAUGUGGAGGAAUACCGAUGGCGAAGGCAGCCCCCUGGGAUAACACUGACGCUCAUGCACGAAAGCGUGGGGAGCAAACAGG